GAGCUUGCUCCCUGAUGUUAGCGGCGGACGGGUGAGUAACACGUGGGUAACCUGCCUGUAAGACUGGGAUAACUCCGGGAAACCGGGGCUAAUACCGGAUGCUUGUUUGAACCGCAUGGUUCAAACAUAAAAGGUGGCUUCGGCUACCACUUACAGAUGGACCCGCGGCGCAUUAGCUAGUUGGUGAGGUAACGGCUCACCAAGGCAACGAUGCGUAGCCGACCUGAGAGGGUGAUCGGCCACACUGGGACUGAGACACGGCCCAGACUCCUACGGGAGGCAGCAGUAGGGAAUCUUCCGCAAUGGACGAAAGUCUGACGGAGCAACGCCGCGUGAGUGAUGAAGGUUUUCGGAUCGUAAAGCUCUGUUGUUAGGGAAGAACAAGUACCGUUCGAAUAGGGCGGUACCUUGACGGUACCUAACCAGAAAGCCACGGCUAACUACGUGCCAGCAGCCGCGGUAAUACGUAGGUGGCAAGCGUUGUCCGGAAUUAUUGGGCGUAAAGGGCUCGCAGGCGGUUUCUUAAGUCUGAUGUGAAAGCCCCCGGCUCACCGGGGAGGGUCAUUGGAAACUGGGGAACUUGAGUGC
rnacentral:rRNA from 1 species